UGCAAGUCGAGCGGACAGAUGGGAGCUUGCUCCCUGAUGUUAGCGGCGGACGGGUGAGUAACACGUGGGUAACCUGCCUGUAAGACUGGGAUAACUCCGGGAAACCGGGGCUAAUACCGGAUGGUUGUUUGAACCGCAUGGUUCAGACAUAAAAGGUGGCUUCGGCUACCACUUACAGAUGGACCCGCGGCGCAUUAGCUAGUUGGUGAGGUAACGGCUCACCAAGGCGACGAUGCGUAGCCGACCUGAGAGGGUGAUCGGCCACACUGGGACUGAGACACGGCCCAGACUCCUACGGGAGGCAGCAGUAGGGAAUCUUCCGCAAUGGACGAAAGUCUGACGGAGCAACGCCGCGUGAGUGAUGAAGGUUUUCGGAUCGUAAAGCUCUGUUGUUAGGGAAGAACAAGUGCCGUUCAAAUAGGGCGGCACCUUGACGGUACCUAACCAGAAAGCCACGGCUAACUACGUGCCAGCAGCCGCGGUAAUACGUAGGUGGCAAGCGUUGUCCGGAAUUAUUGGGCGUAAAGGGCUCGCAGGCGGUUUCUUAAGUCUGAUGUGAAAGCCCCCGGCUCAACCGGGGAGGGUCAUUGGAAACUGGGGAACUUGAGUGCAGAAGAGGAGAGUGGAAUUCCACGUGUAGCGGUGAAAUGCGUAGAGAUGUGGAGGAACACCAGUGGCGAAGGCGACUCUCUGGUCUGUAACUGACGCUGAGGAGCGAAAGCGUGGGGAGCGAACAGGAUUAGAUACCCUGGUAGUCCACGCCGUAAACGAUGAGUGCUAAGUGUUAGGGGGUUUCCGCCCCUUAGUGCUGCAGCUAACGCAUUAAGCACUCCGCCUGGGGGAGUACGGUCGCAAGACUGAAACUCAAAGGAAUUUGACGGGGGGGCCCGCCACAAGCGGUGGAGCAUGUGGUUUUAAUUCGAAGCAACGCGAAGAACCUUACCAGGUCUUUGACAUCCUUCUGACAAUCCUAGAGAUAGGACGUCCCCUUCGGGGGCAGAGUGACAGGUGGUGCAUGGUUGUCGUCAGCUCGUGUCGUGAGAUGUUGGGUUAAGUCCCGCAACGAGCGCAACCCUUGAUCUUAGUUGCCAGCAUUCAGUUGGGCACUCUAAGGUGACUGCCGGUGACAAACCGGAGGAAGGUGGGGAUGACGUCAAAUCAUCAUGCCCCUUAUGACCUGGGCUACACACGUGCUACAAUGGACAGAACAAAGGGCAGCGAAACCGCGAGGUUAAGCCAAUCCCACAAAUCUGUUCUCAGUUCGGAUCGCAGUCUGCAACUCGACUGCGUGAAGCUGGAAUCGCUAGUAAUCGCGGAUCAGCAUGCCGCGGUGAAUACGUUCCCGGGCCUUGUACACACCGCCCGUCACACCACGAGAGUUUGUAACACCCGAAGUCGGUGAGGUAACCUUUUAGGAGCCAGCCGCCGAAG
rnacentral:rRNA from 1 species